rnacentral:rRNA from 1 species
GAUUUCUGGCUUGAAACACUAAGCCGGCCACGGUUUCGUGUGUUAGUGCUUGGUGUUCUGGCCAUCCUUCCAAUCGCCAUCUACUUCUCUUCAUUGAUUAGUAGGUGGUAUUGGAUCUUUUACUUUGAAAAAAUUAGAGUGUUUCAAGCAGGCUUUAUGCUAUGAAUACAUUAGCAUGGAAUAAUAAUUUAGGACUUCGGUUCUAUUUUGUUGGUUUCUAGGACUGAAGUAAUGAUUGAUAGGGAUAGUUGGGGGUGCUAGUAUUCAGCGGCCAGAGGUGAAAUUCUCGGAUUCGCUGAAGACUAACUUAUGCGAAAGCAUU